AUACGUAGGGGGCGAGCGUUGUCCGGAAUGAUUGGGCGUAAAGGGCGCGUAGGCGGCCCGGUAAGUCUGGAGUGAAAGUCCUGUUUUUAAGAUGGGAAUUGCUUUGGAUACUGUCGGGCUUGAGUGCAGGAGAGGUAAGUGGAAUUCCCAGUGUAGCGGUGAAAUGCGUAGAGAUUGGGAGGAACACCAGUGGCGAAGGCGACUUACUGGACUGUAACUGACGCUGAGGCGCGAAAGUGUGGGGAGCAAACAGGAUUAGAUACCCUGGUAGUCCACACUGUAAACGGUGAAUGCUAGGUGUAGGGGGUAUCGACCCCUUCUGUGCCGCAGUCAACACAAUAAGCAUUCCGCCUGGGGAGUACGGCCGCAAGGUUGAAACUCAAAUGAAUUGACGGGG
rnacentral:rRNA from 1 species